GGGACCACACAGCUGGCGUCCACACACCCAACCCACAGCUCAAAGAGGCAUGGACACACGGGCUUCCUGCCACUCACCCCUCAUUCCCAGCUAGGGGCACAGGCUGUCCUCCUGUUAACACUAAUGUCAGAGGUUCUCAGCACUAGGCUCU